AUGGUUCAUACCAUUGUAAUACUCACUGAUAACUUAGCCGAGUCGUAAACUUAAGCUUGAAAGAAGAAGAUGACUUGAAUUUUUUGGUUUAAUGCUUGUUUUAGAAGUGCAGUUAUGCAUCGUGCUUGAGGUUGUACAGAUGUAGACUUCCAUUUUAAAGAGCUAUUAUCAAGUUAUUCCAUCAGCGUUUUGUGCACCUUUGACGGAAUGAAACUAAUAACAAUGACUUUUACCUUGUCAAAACAAAAUUUAGUCCAAUUAUGAGAAUUUGUUAUUUUAUUUUAAGAUUCCAACUGGUGCCAGCCUUAUCAUCCUUAAUAUAGACAUUAGCUGUUUGUUGGUUUUCUGUUGAGUUUCAAGAAAAGGCUAGAGACGAUAAGAACAACUUCUGUGUGUUGUGAAGUUGUUAUCUUAGAACAACUUCCACAACCCUUCAUAACUACACAAACUUUAGCACCCAAAUUCACCAUUUCUCUCUAAUUCUUCUGUUUGUGGUUGUGCAUUGCCUCUGUUUGGUUCCAGAGCUAACUAAAUUUCUCAGCAUUACCGGUGUAGCAGAGUCAGCUUUCAGCUCCUCUACCUGGCAACCAAACAGUCGAUUAAGGAGAAAUUUGAGAUGGUAAUGGAUGCUAUAGCAGUGUCUGAGGAGCUGGCCCGAGAAUCACUUAUGAAAAUCUCUUGUUCUCUACCUCGAAAGCUGCUUAAUUUGGACAACGUUCCUGAGAAUUUUGACAGAGAUGAUUCCAUUCUAGUGGGAAAUGGUGAUGGAGAUGAAAAAUAUAGCUCUUAUUAUAUCUCAAUUUCCUAUAUUCAACCACCUGAUGUCACCUUUGUUCCAAUGCACUGUAUAACUGAAACCAUAUGGGUUUGUGAGAGUUAUAAUUUGAUGGAGGAGUUCUUGUAAAGUAUAGCUGAGGUUCAAUGUGCCUCUGAGCUUCAGCUUGUAUAAAAUAAUGCUGUCAAGGUUUCUAAUAUAGAAAUCGGAAGAGACACACAGAUUAUACCGUAAAGUUGAAAUUUUGUGUCAGCUUGUGACUGAUUCAUCUUCU